AUCAAACAUCAAAGUAGGUGCGGAUGAACACUUGCUUUGCUUCUGUCGACUUGACCAAAGCUUCUCUGUCUACCCAAAUUCCAAUGGCUACCGUCAAGAAGACGGUUCGCGUCGCCGCUGCUCAGAUGACAUCCGUCAAUGAUAUGAUGGCGAAUUUCAACACCUGCUCUCGUCUCGUUCAAGAAGCAGCAUCGGCUGGUGCUAAGCUGAUUUGCUUCCCUGAGAACUUCUCCUAUAUGGGCGAGAAAUCAGGAGACAGUGUGAAAAUCGCUGAAUCAUUAGACGGGCCAGUCAUGCAACGGUAUUGCUCUCUCGCCAGGGACACAAAUAUGUGGUUGUCUCUUGGAGGCUUCCAAGAAAGAUUUGAUGAUACCCAUUUGUAUAAUACACAUGUCGUGAUCGAUGAUACUGGGAUGAUACAAAGCACUUAUCAGAAAAUGCAUUUGUUUGAUGUUGAUGUUCCUGGUGGAAGCUCAUACGAAGAAAGCAGCUUUACGGUUCCAGGGAAGAAUAUUGUUUCCGUAGACAGUCCUGUUGGGCGCUUAGGCCUUACUGUGUGCUACGAUUUGAGGUUUCCUAAGAUUUAUCAGCAACUGAGAUUCGACCAGAAAGCUCAGGUUAUACUGGUACCAUCAGCUUUCACCACGGUCACUGGGGAUGCACACUGGGAGAUUCUUCUCCGAUCCCGAGCUAUUGAAACACAAUGUUAUGUAAUAGCUGCUUCUCAAGCUGGAAAACAUAAUGAGAAAAGAGAAAGUUAUGGGGACACACUGAUCAUUGAUCCGUGGGGAUCUGUGGUUGGAAGAUUACCUGAUCGUUUUUCCACUGGCAUUACCGUGGCAGAUAUCGAUUUUUCGCUGCUUGAGUCAGUGAGAACUAAAAUGCCAAUUGAUAAGCAACGUGUCUCCAUAGAUCUCUAAAUAACCCUGUGUGCCUACAUGACGAGACAUUCUGGAAGGAAGAUCAAGAAGAUCUCAGAGUGGUGAGGUUAUGAAUGUUGUCUAGUCGCAAAAGGAAGAUCAAGAAGAUCUCAGAGUGGUGAUAGGCUUCCCAUCCUUUUCAUUGCCUCCACGAACGCAUUGAAAAAUUUAUCUUGACCAUCAGCGUAGGCUCGGACUAAGGGGAUAGUGUCUGAAGCAUCACGGCUUGAGAACAACUCUUGGUCGCUCUGGAUAAGACCUUUGUUCUCUUUCAGAUUCACAUAAUACUUGUUAUCAAAAACUGUUGGCGUACGUAAAUCAAAAUCUACCAAGAUACUUUGGUUUCCAUUGCGG